CCGUUUCCUUAGUCCAUAACUCCAUAUGCAAACUUAGCCAAGAAGAGUCAACGGCACGUAAACCAGCGAAACUGCAACUGGUUUUCACACGCCUUUUCAUCACAGCCGUCCAUUCCCAUCAACAUCCGGGCUUUCUUCCCCGUCUAUAAAUAAAGAGAGGUUUUGCGGUUGUUUCAACCACCAUUUGAUCACUUUUUCAUUGACGACCGAAAGGUGGGUCUCUUUUUUCAAACUUCGACGACUGCGUU
rnacentral:misc_RNA from 1 species